UGUUUUGUUUUGUUGGGGUUUUUUGUUGCGUGGGUGUUUCUUAAUAUGAAUAAUUACCAAAAAAAGUGCCCUAAUAGUAAAAGUCCUGGAGGUAUGUUAUCACAGGGUGCUGUUAAAUGUGCCCUCCCCACAACUGUUUUCCAGAGGGAGCAGUCUGUCUUUCAGGGAAAGAUUUGUGGAUGUAGGUGCUCAGGGAGAAUGGAGACACUUAACAUCAGCCUCAAUUCAGACUUAACAGGGUUUGAGCACAGAAAAAUUCAGAGUACGUCCAAAAGCUCCCUUCAGUAAAAUUGAAAGUAAAAUUGAAACAUGUCACUGAGUGGACUGAAGGAUGAAGCUCUGGUUUUAAAAUCAAUGAACAUUAUGAGAAACACUCCAGGAGUCAAACCUAAUACUACUGCAUUUCAGAGCUCCAAGCAGCCAAAACACUGUCCAAAUUCUUUUUCAAAAGCCUAAUUCCAUGUAACAGGCCAGAAUGCAUACCCGUGUUCUCACAGCAGGAAUACCCCGAAAUUUUUAGUGUAUGUCUUUCUGAAAUGUCAGUUAGCUGAAGGAUGAUAAUGAUUCUUUGCAUAAAGGAAAACGCUUAUUUUUGGCCAUGUGCAGACCUCCCAUCUUUUUUUCACCGGAAAGGAGAAAAAUAACGUCUGGAACAACUCUACAACACAAUACCGUGCUGCUGACUGCAGGUGGGUCGGUGGGAGAAUGCUGGUCAGGUUUCAGCACAGUUGUACUCACCAAUUUCAGCUUUCUGAUAUCGUGUCACAAGCGCAAGGCAGGGCUAGUGGACACGGCAAUAAAAUUACUGCAUGUAUUGCUAAAUUAAUUCAUUUGCCAACAUUGUCACAUGAUUUCUGAAGUAUAUGAAGGAAGUUUUAAUUUCCCUUUUUUGGCCAUAAUUACUAGCAUGAACAAAUUGACAGCAUGACCAAGCUGUCCGUCAGUUUUAUCAUAGGUUUUCUAGGCGUUUAGCACAAAGGUUAACACUCACAUGUGCUGCAAGAAUUCACUACCGCUGUUAUGUAGCACAAAAUCCAGCAGGACUGUGAUUGUACAUCAAAUAUGCACAGCGUUGUGACCAAUUCAUGGGAUCAUCCAUGUGGGGAGGAAAAAAAAAAUUAAAAAAUCAGAGUGUGCAGUGCAAAGAGGGUUUUUUUUAAACCAGGAAGACAAUCCUGGUUAUCCCAGCUUCUGCUCCCUUUUAGGUCAGAUCCCUUAACUCAGGUUAAUGCUGCGCUCAUCUUGCUCCUCUGAAUGUGGUGUUGCAGAGCUGUAGCAACACGACAGCCCUGGAAUUUUUCUUCACUCAGCUUGUGUGACACAGAGAGAGCUCCCUUCAGCAAGGAGCAUGCACGGUACAGGUGAAGAGUGACACCUAAAGGCAGAAAUGUGCUCAAGGCUCCGGCAAGGGCAACAUUCAGCCAACGCUUCAGCCUGUAAAUCAUCUGCUUGUUGUAUUUCUUCUCCAGCCAGACUGACUCGAGACAGUUCAUCGUGUGGUCUGGAGCGUUUCUUGGAUGCUCCAGAAUUAUGGACAAAGCAUAAUUCUACGUUAUCAAAGAGCAUUAGGAAGAAGAACAGUCAGAGCAACAACAACAUGGAAACUAAAUGAAAUAUUGCAAUUAAUUCAGCAAGCUAAAUGGAAAAUAUUUCCUUACCAAAUUUUUUGUAAAACAGAAUCCAGUAAGGCCUGUCUCAAGUGGUGAGUUUCUGUCAGGUAUUUCUUUAAGUGCUGUGUGUGUGCGAGUAAGUCAUAUCACAAUGCUUAAAAUGUUUGAAGGCAAGUUAGGAAAGUAAAUGACAUUGCAUAUAGGCAGCAGUUCAUUUCAAUUAGUGUGGUGUUUGGAGAAAAUAUCCCUGGAAACAUUUUGGCACAAUAGCUUUUUUUUUUUUCCUUACAACAUAACACUGAAAUAUGGGUGUAGACUUGCCCCCAGGUCACUGCAAUGCAGAGGAAAUUUUAUGUUCUCUUCCUUCCAUUCUUUUUAACUAUUGAAGAGUACAAUUGCUUCAGUAGUAUUAACAAACUAAUCUACCAGAGUGGGGUUUUUUUUUGCAAUUACUCAAGUGUUUAUGUGAGAAUGCAUUGAAUGUUUUUAGGAGUUUUUAUGUUGAAAGAAAAUACAGCAGGUUGUUAAGACUGAAGAACAAUCAUUUCAGUCAAGUUGUGCUAAUAAACUGAUAAUAAACACUAAUGAACUGAUAUGCUACUUGACUGCUAAGCAGCUGGUUGAAACAGCCCUGAAACUAUAAGCAAUUUGGUUGUUGAUGCUGUGUUCAGCAUUUUUGACUGAUGAAUAAACAUCUGACAGCCGUGCUGGCUGUCAUCACUCUUCUAGGAAAUACCAAGUUAAAUGAGCACAAUAGAACAAAAUAACACCCAAUAAUUGUAAACAGUCUCCCUGUAGGCAAAUGGUUGUUCAUAAUAUCAAAUCAGAACUUCACCUUCAGCUCAGGUCAAAAGUUGGUUAAAUACCACAUGUCCUUUUGGAGCGUUAGACUUUUGUAACCGUGUGUGAGAUUACCCCUAAAACACCUACACAUAUGAAUGCACAUCAUGGGUAGGGAAAAGUGGAAAACUAGGGAUGGCCAAUGCGUUGUCCCACCGUCUGAAUACAGGUGUGCUAAUUUUGCAUUGCAGAGAAGCAGUGGAUUCCCCAUCGUUCCCCUCCAUGCCAGGAGGACUUCUCUAAUUCUGUGUAGGGCUCUGAGAACAAUUGCUGUUAUGGAGGUUGUGGCCUUUGAUGUCAAAUAAUUCAAAUUGUAGGUUUGGCUUCAGUUGGCACACGAUGGUUCAGUAAUGUGAACCAGAAUAUUUAUUGUCACACAGAUUAAGAACUAGCCUAUGGUUUGCCUGUGGGAGCCCUUCUCUAACUAGCUCAUAUAGUUCUGACCUACCCAUUGAGAGAGUUUCAAACUUAAAAGACUAAGGCGGGCAGCUCCUAAGAAAAUUACUAUUCCUCAACUGAGCAGGACUUAAAAUAGCAAACAAAAGAACUAAUGUGAUGGGGAUAAAAGUAUGGGAGGUGUACUUUUAUCCUAUAAAAUACUCUUUAAAGUUUAACACUUUCUCUCUGUGUUCUUGAUACACUAAAAACUCAUCCUCCCCUUUCAGGACAAAAAUGUUGUAGGAGCAGAGUUCAUUGGUGUCAUGCAUUAGUCUCCUACUUAUCUCAGUCAUAGAUGCCAGAGCAGCAUAGAGUUAAAACCUCAAUGAGAAAGGGAAAUUCAGGUACUUGCUGCAGUCAUUUCUGCACCUCAGACCUCAUGUGUACAUUCUCCUAUACUAACACCACUCACACAGGUCCAAGGUUGUAUCCCUUCUUCAAGCAAAAACUCUUCCUUCAUUGUCUGAGGAGAUUUGGCUGAACAGGGUCAGAAUCAAGGUCAAGCCUUAUAUACAGAUGGAGGUGGAGAAAGAAACUGCUUAACUGCUGAGAUUAAAUGUAAUUAUUUUCUGUAAAAUAACUAAAAUAGCGGCUCAAGUGGUUUUGGCUCAUUUUUCUUUUUUACUGAUAGUGACUGAUUUUUUCAGGUGUGAGAAGGAGUUAAACGCACAGUUUCUCUACAGCAGUGUGGUGUAAGAGUCUGGCAGCUCCAUCCCCUUCUCUGCUUCCUGAACCACCAACCACCACCAGACUUUUCAGAAAAGUAUAGUAAUUUCAGGAAAUGACUUACCUGUGUCUUCUAUCCUGGACUAAUUAUAUUUUUUCAGAAGGAAGAACCAAAAAGGCACAAGAUUUAAAAAUUUCUUUGUAUGAAUAACUACUAUGUGUAUGUGAUUGAAAAUAAAAGCAAGUCUUUAAAAUCAUA